rnacentral:rRNA from 1 species
AGCAGCCGCGGUAAUUCCAGCUCCAAUAGCGUAUAUUAAAGUUGUUGCAGUUAAAAAGCUCGUAGUUGAAUUUCGAGACCGGCUUACUGGUCGUGCUAUUGUACGUACUGGUAUAAUCGGUUUCUCCUUUCUGACGAACUAUAAUGCCAUUAAUUUGGUGUUUUAGGGAAUCAGGACUGUUACUUUGAAAAAAUUAGAGUGUUUAAAGCAGGCUCACGCUUGAAUACAUUAGCAUGGAAUAACGGAAUAGGACGUUUGAUUCUAUUUUGUUGGUUUCUAGGAUCGACGUAAUGAUUAAUAGGGAUAGUUGGGGGCAUUAGUAUUCAAUUGUCAGAGGUGAAAUUCUUGGAUUUAUUGAAGACUAACUACUGCGAAAGCAUUUGCCAAGGAUGUUUUCAUUAAUCAAGAACGAAAGUUAGGGGAUCGAAGACGAUCAGAUACCGUCGUAGUCUUAACCAUAAACUAUGCCGACUAGGGAUCGGAUGAUGUUAAUUUUUAAUGACUCGUU